rnacentral:rRNA from 1 species
AGCCAGGAUGUUGGCUUAGAAGCAGCCAUCAUUUAAAGAAAGCGUAAUAGCUCACUGGUCGAGUCGGCCUGCGCGGAAGAUGUAACGGGGCUAAACCAUGCACCGAAGCUGCGGCAGCGACGCUUAUGCGUUGUUGGGUAGGGGAGCGUUCUGUAAGCCUGCGAAGGUGUGCUGUGAGGCAUGCUGGAGGUAUCAGAAGUGCGAAUGCUGACAUAAGUAACGAUAAAGCGGGUGAAAAGCCCGCUCGCCGGAAGACCAAGGGUUCCUGUCCAACGUUAAUCGGGGCAGGGUGAGUCGACCCCUAAGGCGAGGCCGAAAGGCGUAGUCGAUGGGAAACAGGUUAAUAUUCCUGUACUUGGUGUUACUGCGAAGGGGGGACGGAGAAGGCUAUGUUGGCCGGGCGACGGUUGUCCCGGUUUAAGCGUGUAGGCUGGUUUUCCAGGCAAAUCCGGAAAAUCAAGGCUGAGGCGUGAUGACGAGGCACUACGGUGCUGAAGCAACAAAUGCCCUGCUUCCAGGAAAAGCCUCUAAGCAUCAGGUAACAUCAAAUCGUACCCCAAACCGACACAGGUGGUCAGGUAGAGAAUACCAAGGCGCUUGAGAGAACUCGGGUGAAGGAACUAGGCAAAAUGGUGCCGUAACUUCGGGAGAA